rnacentral:tRNA from 1 species
CGGUAGCUCAGUCGGUAGAGCAAGGGACUGAAAAUCCCUGUGUCGAUGGUUCGAUUCCGUCCCGA